rnacentral:misc_RNA from 1 species
AUCUUGCUGUCCUCAUCAGAUUCUGCAUCUACAGUUGACUUGCUAUGCUGAACUGGCUUCAUUCUAGGAAUCACAAACACAUCAUUCCCAAACCCAUCGUCACAUCGAAAUCCAUCACCCCCAUUGGGUUUUGUUGUGGACAAACUAGUGACAGUACUUGAACAAACAGAACUAACACCAGUAUUUGCAGGGUUGCUUCAUUUUCACUGCUG